rnacentral:snRNA from 1 species
CAACUUACCUGGCAGGAGAGAUACCAUGGUCACGAAGGUGACUUUCCCAGGGUGAGGCUCAUCCAUUGCACUCCAGAUGUGCUGACCCCUGUGACUUCCCCUGACCCUCCCCCACAAAAUCC